UGAGCCCAGGAGUCUGAGGUUGCUGUGAGCUAGGCUGACGCCAAGGCACUCACUUUUCUUUGAAAAUAUCCUAUGAUGUCUAAAAGGAUGAUAUCUAUUUUUAUAGAUAUCUCUUUAUAUAAUCAUUAAUUUAUCUCUAUUAAUAACAUGGAAUGUAUAUCUCUAUUCAGGGCCCUAAAAUUUAUGUGGCAUAUGUCUUACCAGCUGUCAACUAGUUAAGGCCUGUGAUUGGUGUGAAAAUGUAAAGGCAUGUCGUGAGACACGCCCAGUGCGUUCUGUCUGCACGUGCUAGAGGGGAGCAGUCCCUCGAGAGUGGCUCGUUCAGUGACGUCUGACCCUGUUCGCUGCCCUGCUUCAGUGCUUGCUGCUGUGUGACUCUUUCCCAGCUAUCCGUCCUUUCUUUCUUACUCCUAGUUACAAUUUGAUUUGGAAAAUACUAACCUAGUGCAAUUUUUGAGGAAACUCAUGGCUAGGAAAAUUAGUUUACUUAAGAUUAUGCAGUUAACAGCUGAGUGUGGACUACGUUCCAGAUUCCGUGUUUCAGGUGAGUUGCUUUUUCUUGCACACCACAGGUAUCUUGCACAGAACUGUCGUCUUUGGUGUGUAAGGCUAAAUUUAGGGAAAUUGCCGUUUUUAACCCACACAAAGCACAAUUUCAUAUAAUUCAACCUGAUAGCAUAACAUAAGUGUUAAGAGUUAAUCUCUGGAAUCAGGCUUUGACUCUGAUAGUGACCCAAUCACUAAACUACCUGGGGACCUUGGCAGGUGACAUAAAUGUCUCUGUUUCCUUUUUCAUAACCACAGAGACAAGAGAACCUAUCCCCAUACCAUAGGAUUAUUUUGAAGAUUAAAUGAAAUGACAUUUGAAGCACUUGAAUACUCUCCAUAAAUGUUAGCUAUUUUUAUUAUAUUCUUACUAGCAUUAGGUUUUGUUUUCUUUGUUAUUAUUGACAUAGACAUGUCUAUGGGCAAAAGGAAAUCUGACCAAGGAUAGAAUAAAUUUAGGCUAUGAAGGUUAGGACUAACUGAAAACAAGAAAAUAAUUUUGUGCCAGUAUAGUGAUAUAUAUCAGUAGGGUGUGGUUGAGAAUGCUUCAGAACUUUUUUAACAUUGGUUUAAGAUACCCAGAA